AACGAACGCUGGCGGCAGGCCUAACACAUGCAAGUCGAGCGAGGUAGCAAUACCUAGCGGCGGACGGGUGAGUAACGCGUGGGAACGUGCCCCUUGGUACGGAAUAGCCCCGGGAAACUGGGAGUAAUACCGUAUGAGCUCUACGGAGGAAAGAUUUAUCGCCAAGGGAUCGGGCCGCGUUGGAUUAGGUAGUUGGUGGGGUAAUGGCCUACCAAGCCGACGAUCCAUAGCUGGUUUGAGGGGAUGAUCAGCCACACUGGGACUGAGACACGGCCCAGACUCCUACGGGAGGCAGCAGUGGGGAAUCUUAGACAAUGGGCGCAAGCCUGAUCUAGCCAUGCCGCGUGAGCGAUGAAGGCCUUAGGGUUGUAAAGCUCUUUCAGCUGGGAAGAUAAUGACUGUACCAGCAGAAGAAGCCCCGGCUAACUCCGUGCCAGCCGCCGCAGUAACAC
rnacentral:rRNA from 1 species